UACGGAGGAUGCAAGCGUUAUCCGGAAUGAUUGGGCGUAAAGCGUCCGCAGGUGGCAAUGUAAGUCUGCUGUCAAAGCGUCUGGCUCAACCAGAUAAAAGGCAGUGGAAACUACAUAGCUAGAGUAAGGUAGGGGUAGAGGGAAUUCCUGGUGUAGCGGUGAAAUGCGUAGAGAUCAGGAAGAACACCGGUGGCGAAAGCGCUCUGCUGGACCUUAACUGACACUGAGGGACGAAAGCUAGGGGAGCGAACAGG
rnacentral:rRNA from 1 species